rnacentral:tRNA from 2 species
UGGCUCGUAGUGUAGAGGAAAGCAUAACACUCUGAUGAAGUGUUGGCGACAGUUCAAAUCUGUCCGAGCCGA